UAGAGUUUGAUCCUGGCUCAGGACGAACGCUAGCGGUGUGCUUAAUACAUGCAAGUCGAACGAUGAGGCCCUUUCGGGGGUACAUCAGUGGCGGACGGGUGAGUAACACGUAGGAAAUCUGCCCUUCAGCGGGGGAUAACAGCGGGAAACUGCUGCUAAUACCCUAUACGUCUUUAGGUUGAAAUACCUUUAGAUAAAAGCUCCGGCGCUGUUGGAUGAGCCUGCGCCUGAUUAGCUUGUAGGUGGGGUAAUGGCCUACCUAGGCGACGAUCAGUAGCUGGUCUGAGAGGAUGAUCAGCCACAAUGGGACUGAGACACGGCCCAUACUCCUACGGGAGGCAGCAGUAGGGAAUAUUGCGCAAUGGGCGAAAGCCUGACGCAGCAACACCGCGUGUAUGAUGAAGCGCUUCGUGCGUGUAAAAUACUGUCAGAGGGGACGAAUUUUGACGGUACCCUCAGAGGAAGCAUCGGCUAACUCCGUGCCAGCAGCCGCGGUAAGACGGAGGAUGCGAGCGUUGUCCGGAAUCAUUGGGCGUAAAGAGUUCGUAGGCGGCAUGUCAAGUCUGGUGUUAAAGCCCGGGGCUUAACCCCGGUUAGGCGCUGGAAACUGACAAGCUUGAGCAUAGUAGAGGCAAGGGGAAUUCCCAGUGUAGCGGUGAAAUGCGUAGAUAUUGGGAGGAACACCAGUGGCGUAAGCGCCUUGCUGGGCUAGUGCUGACGCUGAGGAACGAAAGCCAGGGGAGCGAAUGGGAUUAGAUACCCCAGUAGUCCUGGCCGUAAACGAUGGAUACUAGGUGUGGCUGGUAUCGACCCCUGCCGUGCCGAAGUUAACGCGUUAAGUAUCCCGCCUGGGGAGUACGCACGCAAGUGUGAAACUCAAAGGAAUUGACGGGGGCCCGCACAAGCGGUGGUACAUGCGGUUUAAUUCGAUGCAACGCGAAGAACCUUACCAGGACUUGACAUCUGGAGAACCUCUUGGAAACUUGAGGGUGCCUGCUUCGGUAGGAGCUCCAAGACAGGUGGUGCAUGGCUGUCGUCAGCUCGUGUCGUGAGAUGUUGGGUUAAGUCCCGCAACGAGCGCAACCCUCGUGGUUAGUUACCUUGCAGAGCAUGCUCAGUAAGUUCGGUCUAGCCAGACUGCCGGUGAUAAACCGGAGGAAGGUGGGGAUGACGUCAAGUCAGCAUGCCCCUUAUGUUCUGGGCUACACACGUGUUACAAUGCGUAAGACAGCGAGCAGCCAACUGGCAACAGUGAGCAAAUCUCAAAAACUUGCGCUUAGUUCGGAUUGUAGUCUGCAACUCGACUACAUGAAGUCGGAAUCGCUAGUAACCGCAGAUCAGCACGCUGCGGUGAAUACGUUCCCGGGCCUUGUACACACCGCCCGUCACACCACGGAAGCUGACUUAGCCCGAAGUCGGUGAGCUAACCUUUUAGGAGGCAGCCGCCUAAGGCAGGGUUGGUGACUGGGGUGAAGUCGUAACAAGGUAACCA
rnacentral:rRNA from 2 species